AGAGUUUGGAUUCAUGGCUCAGAUUGAACGCUGGGCGGGCAGGCUUAACACAUGCAAGUCGAGCGGUAACAGGGGUAGCUUGCUACCCGCUGACGAGCGGCGGACGGGGUGAGUAAUGCUUAAGGAAUCUGCCCAGUAGUGGGGGGAUAGCCCGGGGAAACCCGGAUUAAUACCGCAUACGUCCUACGGGAGAAAGCAGGGGAUCUUCGGACCUUGCGCUAUUGGAUGAGCCUAAGUCGGAUUAGCUAGUUGGUGGGGGUAAAGGCCUACCAAGGGCGACGAUCCGUAGCUGGUCUGAGAGGGAUGAUCAGCCACAUCGGGACUGAGACACGGCCCGAACUCCUACGGGAGGCAGCAGUGGGGGAAUAUUGGACAAUGGGGGCAACCCUGAUCCAGCCAUCCCGCGUGUGUGAAGAAGGCUUUCGGGUUGUAAAGCACUUUCAGUAGGGAGGAAAACCUUAUGGCUAAUACCCAUGAGGCUUGACGUUACCUACAGAAGAAGCACCGGCUAACUCCGUGCCAGCAGCCGCGGUAAUACGGAGGGUGCAAGCGUUAAUCGGAAUUACUGGGCGUAAAGCGCGCGUAGGUGGUUUGGUAAGCGAGAUGUGAAAGCCCCGGGCUUAACCUGGGAACGGCAUUUCGA
rnacentral:rRNA from 1 species